rnacentral:rRNA from 1 species
UACGUAGGUGGCAAGCGUUGUCCGGAUUUAUUGGGUUUAAAGGGUGCGUAGGCGGCCCUGUAAGUCAGUGCUGAAAUAUCCCGGCUUAACCGGGAGGGUGGCAUUGAUACUGCAGGGCUUGAGUACAGAUGAGGUAGGAGGAAUUGACGGUGUAGCGGUGAAAUGCAUAGAUAUCGUCAAGAACACCGAUAGCGAAGGCAGCUUACUGGGCUGUAACUGACGCUGAUGCACGAAAGUGUGGGGAUCAAACAGG